rnacentral:rRNA from 1 species
AACGUAGGUCACAAGCGUUGUCCGGAAUUACUGGGUGUAAAGGGAGCGCAGGCGGGAAGACAAGUCGGAAGUGAAAUCUAUGGGCUCAACCCAUAAACUGCUUUCAAAACUGUUUUUCUUGAGUAGUGCAGAGGUAGGCGGAAUUCCCGGUGUAGCGGUGGAAUGCGUAGAUAUCGGGAGGAACACCAGUGGCGAAGGCGGCCUACUGGGCACCAACUGACGCUGAGGCUCGAAAGUGUGGGUAGCAAACAGG